GUGAGGAAUAUUGGACAAUGGGCGCAAGCCUGAUCCAGCCAUGCCGCGUGCAGGAAGACGCAUCUAUGGUGUGUAAACUGCUUUUGUACGGGAAGAAACACUCCCUCGUGAGGGAGCUUGACGGUACCGUAAGAAUAAGGAUCGGCUAACUCCGUGCCAGCAGCCGCGGUAAUACGGAGGAUCCAAGCGUUAUCCGGAAUCAUUGGGUUUAAAGGGUACGUAGGCGGUUUAAUAAGUCAGUGGUGAAAGCCCAUCGCUCAACGAUGGAACGGCCAUUGAUACUGUUAGACUUGAAUUACAAGGAAGUAACUAGAAUAUGUAGUGUAGCGGUGAAAUGCUUAGAUAUUACAUGGAAUACCAAUUGCGAAGGCAGGUUACUACUUGUGGAUUGACGCUGAUAGACGAAAGCGUGGGGAGCGAACAGGAUUAGAAACCCGGGUAGUCC
rnacentral:rRNA from 1 species